rnacentral:rRNA from 1 species
CAGCAGCCACGGGAAUACGUAGGUGGCAAGCGUUGUCCGGAAUUAUUGGGCUUAAAGGGCUCGCAGGCGGUUUCUUAAGUCUGAUGUGAAAGCCCCCGGCUCAACCGGGGAGGGUCAUUGGAAACUGGGAAACUUGAGUGCAGAAGAGGAGAGUGGAAUUCCACGUGUAGCGGUGAAAUGCGUAGAGAUGUGGAGGAACACCAGUGGCGAAGGCGACUCUCUGGUCUGUAACUGACGCUGAGGAGCGAAAGCGUGGGGAGCGAACAGGAUUAGAUACCCCGGUAGUCCCUGUCUCUUAUAC